rnacentral:rRNA from 1 species
GACGAACGCUGGCGGCAUGCCUAAUACAUGCAAGUCGAGCGAACAGAUGAAGUGCUUGCACUUCUGACGUUAGCGGCGAACGGGUGAGUAACACGUAAGGAAUCUACCUAUAAGCGGGGGAUAACAUUCGGAAACGGGUGCUAAUACCGCAUAAUAUCUUCUUCCGCAUGGAAGAAGAUUGAAAGACGGCUCUGCUGUCACUUAUAGAUGACCUUGCGGUGCAUUAGUUAGUUGGCGGGGUAACGGCCUACCAAGACGAUGAUGCAUAGCCGACCUGAGAGGGUGAUCGGCCACAUUGGGACUGAGACACGGCCCAAACUCCUACGGGAGGCAGCAGUAGGGAAUCUUCCGCAAUGGGCGAAAGCCUGACGGAGCAAUGCCGCGUGAGUGAAGAAGGCCUUCGGGUCGUAAAACUCUGUUAUAAGAGAAGAACAAAUUGUAGAGUAACUGCUACAGUCUUGACGGUAUCUUAUCAGAAAGCCACGGCUAACUACGUG